AGAGCGAACGCUGGCGGCAUGCUUAACACAUGCAAGUCGCACGGUCGGGGGUAACUUCGGCAGUGGCGGACGGGUGAGUAACGCGUAGGAAUUUAUCCAAGGGUGGGGGAUAACCGCGGGAAACUGUGGCUAAUACCGCAUGACGACUGAGGUCUAAAGCUUGCGAGAGCGCCUUUGGACGGAGCCUGCGCCUGAUUAGCUAGUUGGUGAGGUAACGGCUCACCAAGGCGACGAUCAGUAGCUGGUCUGAGAGGAUGAUCAGCCACAUUGGGACUGAGACACGGCCCAAACUCCUACGGGAGCAGCAGUGGGGAAUAGUUGGACAAGUGGGACGAAAA
rnacentral:rRNA from 1 species